UGGUUAUGAUUGUCUGAACCAAAAAUCAUCGCUGAUUCUCUCGAUUCCUUUCUCUUCUCCUUCCCGAUCCGAAUCGCCGCCUGGCUGAGUUUAUCUUCGCUUCGAUAGAGAACGCUGAGUACUAUCUUUCUGAGUUCACCAAGUUUGAUUCAAAUCUUCAUUCAAGCCUCAUGUUCUACCUUCUACGAAGGCAGAUAUUCUUCAAGUUGCUUAUCGACCACAAGAUUUUUUAAAGCAGGAAUGAUGCUGCUCUUCGGUGAUAGAGCGUUAAGCGAAAGAAAAAUACCAGAGACUGAAGAUUUUAUCGAUGAUGAUAUCAGACGCCUUACAAGUAUAGGCCUUAGAGCCGAGGAUCCCAUGGCUGGGAGAUCAGUACCUUUCGAUGUCGCUCCGUUUGCAAAUGCUAGCACGAAUGAGAUGCUUCAGAUGAUGCAAACCCUAGUCGCAAUGAAUCCAGAUCUGCAGAAGAAAGACAUUUCAUCUCAGAUGCAGACAUUACCUUUCUAAGACGACAAUCAUAUAUGAUAAAUCUUAAUGCUACUUGCUAUGUACCACCACUAGUAGAGUCAUUUGCUUCCCUCUCUUCCAUAAUUUCUUCUUCGUAUAGCUUGGUGUGGCCGGACCAGCAAAGCGUCCCUAACUGUAGCCUUUGGUGGUGGAGAAUUGAUCUAAGCUCUGGUUUUCAUGGCGACUAGAUUGUGUAAUUUUAGCUACGAAUUACAUGCCCCAUGUUUUUUUUUGAAAA